AAAAAAAAAGGGUAGGCUUUCGCAAUUUCUUUAUCUUUAUCCUUAUUCUUACUUCUUCAAUGUGACGGAUGGCAUAUAAAACCCAAGUAACGAAAACUGCUUCUGAAUUCUGAUGCUAUUGUCUAUGAAGAGGAAGGUAAAAAAAAAUCAUGUCGAACUGUUACUUUGGUUAAAAUCAUUCGGGAUGAAGCAAUAAAAUGAAUGAGAAAUUUAGGUUUCAUAUCCAGCAUAAUGAUAUAGAGCCUAUACAAACGUAAAUUUUCCAUAAUUACAUUCAAAUUCUUAUACUGUUAGGUUCAUAAUGAGUUGUGAAUAUGAAAUAUUUCAAGGCAAGAGUGAAUUAAAUCCAUCUCCUCAUACUCUUGCAACUACGCAGAUCUGUUGAAUAUUUCUGAUUGUUGCAAAUUAAUAGUCAUGCUUAUUAGCUUUAUAGCAAAUUAGUCUAUGGAUGGAACAAGGGCAGAAUAAAAGGGAGUAAAAUUUAUGCACUCUGCCUUUUUGAACAUUGUUUUUCUUUUUUGCCCUUUGAGGGGAAGGGUUUAGAGAUGACUUGAACUCCUUCAAAAUCUCUUGAAGCCUAACUUCAAUUUGUCGAAUUCAUUAUUUUACUUCAUUAUGUGCUGUGCUGGCAACAACAGAUAGGAAGGGGUCCAUGUAACUGCUGCACUCGCCCCUCUUGCUAAGCAUUGGAGCAACAGGUUCGAGGUUGUCCCUGCUCCUUAAGCAAGAUGGGCAAAAGCAAGUUAACAGGUGCGUAUGCUGUACCAAAUGGUCCAGGAAAAGGAGAGUGUGAAAAACUUAAGUAUCCCAAGCCAGUCUCUGUCGUAAGCCCUUCUAUGCCUUCCCUGCAAUUGAAGCUCCAGUCGUAGAACCAGUUGGAGUAAAAAAAGUGGAAAGUGGAGAAGAGGUUUGCAUCUUCACCAUCCUUUUCCACAGAAAGAUCUUCUUGACGACUACUAAAACUUUAGUAUCCUUCUGAGCAGAAAACGGAUUGGUGUUGUUCCUCUGUGCAUCUCUGUGGUGGCUCUGUUAAAAAGGUGCAACUCUGAUUGGAUGAAACAGUUAAGAAUUCUUUCAGAUUAAUCUUUAUGUCAAUAGAUCUCUUCUUGUUCCUCAAUCUUUGGAGAAGGCAGCAUUGUAUUGUUGUAAGUUCUCUGUUCCUAACAUUUCCUAGACGACAAGUUUUAAUUCUUAAAUGGGGCAAGUUCCGGUCAAGAUGGAGAAAAGCAUUUACUCUACUCUUCUCACCUUUUGACCGGCUCACUCUUGUUUCUUUUACUUUUUUACUUCCAGACAUAUGGUUAAACAUCAGAUAUGUAUUCAUCAUGGAUCAAUUAGCCUAAAUUCAUGUAUUUUGACCUAUUAAAAUGUACUCUAGUAUGUUGGAGAGUUAUCUGAAUAUUGCAAAGCAUUAUAUAAAACUAGAUCUAACAUGUAGAACAAUAUGUCCAUUUUGUUUGUUGGAUAUGUGGGCUAAAGUCAGAAGCUAGUUGAAUGCAAACUGAGUAAACCUACCUUUGUCUGAACUGUACUGUCAAAAUCUGGGAAGUUGGAAGCAUUCUCCGAGUCAAAUUUUUGUUAAUUUUUUUGGCUUUUUGAUCACCCCAGAGUUCCUACUUCUGUCCUUUAACAUAAAUGAAAUUUCUCUCUUUAAGUUGAUGCCAGCUUUUCUGGGACAAUCCUGAAGACAUUGAACCGAUUGUUUUCAUAUUUUUCAAAAGUUUCUUACCUGCGUGUACCAAGCUUCUUGCAUCUUAGAAGCCAAGAAAGUGCCUUCUUAAACAUUUUCUUAGACUAUGGAUUACAGUUCUUCACCAAGUUGUUUGAGCAUCAAACCCUUUCCCGUGCAUUACUUUUAUCAACAGGUUUGUUUUGGUAUGUCUGGAACAGCAGAAACCAAGCCAUUUUAACUUUCAAACCUGCGACUCACUAAUUCUGUUUUGUUUCAGCCUUGUUUGUGAACGGGCUGAACUACAUUUUUGUUAUAGGGAAGCUAAUUAAAUGGCGGAUGGUACUAGAAAGCUUCCUGAUAUGCACUCUACUCCUCUUUUCUAUGAACUGUUUCUUAUAUGAUGUUAGGAUGGAUUCAGAAAUCAAUCCUUGUAUAGGGUGCGUGUUGCCUUGUUAUAGAUAUUCUGUUACUCAUGCAAAGGCUUUCAAUAAUAAUAAAAAAAAAAGAAAACAAGGGUAUGGAACAAAAUUGACAUGCUGAUGGACUGAGAAACCAAAGAAUAAAAUUGAAGGCACAUUUAAGGUAUUUAUACAAUAAUUGUUGAUGCCGAGAUCGACAGAGCUGCUCCUGGGCCAAGCCAAUCCAAUCUCCUACUCUCAAGUGAUCCCACUCCGAUGCUUUAAGUAAGAGACUACAAAGAAAGAACAAGAAAACCCGACGUGGAAUAGUGGGCCGGAAGCAUUUUAAUUUAUGUAUUACUGUAGCUCAGAUGCCAAAGGAGCAAACACACUACGCAGAGUGACCCUUUCCGUAUCACACACUAGGGUUGCGAGUUUCAAUGGAUGGAGAAAUGGACCCAGAAAUAAUCCGUAUGUUCAUGGACUUCCUUACGUGGGAACCAGUCGACCUAAUGUUGAUGAAGAAGCGCUUGGAAUCUGCCCCGCCUUUGGACGGCAACCCUCGCCCCAAGAAAGUAUUCCUCCUCCUCUCCAUCAAAGCUAAAAUCUUGAGCGGCAACAUUUCGGAGGAAAUCCUAGGCCAUUUGGAGAUGAUCGAGCGCAUCGACUGCAGCCAAUGUCUCAGAAUCACUGACUCCAUGAACCGAGCUUACUGCGCUGUCGCACUUGAAUGCACCGCCAAGUACUUGGCCGUUAAUUGGGGCGGGAAUGGCAGGUAUUUGGAUGCCGUUAACAGAAUCUGGAGGGGUAGAAUUGCAAAUUUGGAAAAAUCCAAGGCAUCCAAGUUGGUGACCACCGAGGAACUGAGAAGUGGUCGACGUCAAGUGGAGGCUGCCAUUAAGGAUGAGGAGGUCGCCAACGUGUUAAUCGCUACCAAUUCGCUCAAUGAGGCCAUUAGGAUGAUUAAGGUUUAUUUGAAGGAAGCUCAGGCCUUGAUGGGUAUCUCAUCCCUUGAAAGAGAAUGUGAGUUAUUCCUUGCAAGAGAAUGUGAGUCUGGUUUUCCUGUAGUAGAGGCGGAGUAAACUUUCAUGAGCAGAAGAAAAAAAAAAGGAUAAUGAAGAGGAAUUGCAGAGUCUAUAGAAUGAAGGAAUGAUUAAAAUCUUUCAGGAUGAGGAAAAAAAUUAGCUUGGAAGGUGGAUUACUUCCCGGGAAUAAGCUGUUUUUUAUUUUAUGUUGAAUUAUUAGAGUUAGUUUCUAAAAGAAAUAGUUGAAGAUGAGAGUAUUGCCCUAUGUUGAUGAGAAGGAUGCUUUCACCAUAAUAAUACGGGCAUAUGGUGUAUUAACCUCAACCACAAACCCAUCGUGGUUGACAGUCUUGAAGAUUCGACUGUUUUUGCAUGUGUCAAAGUAUAUUUUUGUUUUAGGAAGCUAAUCAAAUAGCCAACCUCUUGUUGAGGAGAGCCGCUAGUAUUAGACAGCUUCAUGACAUAAACUCUGCUCUCUUUUUGGAUUACUUGGUAUUAUGAGAUUGUACUUCUUUAACUUCUACCAAACCUUAUAGGGUGUAUAUUGCUGGUUGUAAAUAUUAACUAGUGCAAAACUAAAUUUUGAAAAA